GAUGUAUAAUGCAAAUUAGCGAUUCUAGCAACUAUCAGAUAAAUAAAUUGAAAUAUAGUAUGUAGGAGUACUGUUGUCUUUGAUUUGAGUAAUUCCGAAGCCCACACGUUUCUCACCAUUAUUUAUCAGAGUAUAGAGCUCUUGCCCUCAAAAAGCAAUAUUGGAGAUUUAACUUGUACGGUAUGUAUUUUUGUUUUAUCCUUUCCAUUAAAAAAUUGGCAACAAUUUUAAAAAUUGUUUUUGUUGCAUAUGAAACUAUAGGUAAGGGGCAAACUUUUUAAAUAAAGGUGACCUGAUGCUUCUGCUGAAAAAAAAAUAUAUAUAGAAAUCUGCUGACUGAGAAGAGGCACACUUGAUCAUUCCCAGAAAGAUAUACGCUAGCUUAGAGAACUGGAAUAUUCAUUGUUACU